rnacentral:lncRNA from 1 species
GGGGAAAUGGAUAUGAACCAGCUAGGAACCAAUGUCUUCCUGUAACUUAGGAUAUGUCUGCACCACUGACCAUAAGACAGAGGACCUCAUGGUUACAUGGGACAGUGUCCUUGUCAGUCUUAUGGUGUGACCACGCAUAUGGACAGGGUUUCCUUAGAAGAGUACAAGAGAGUACAAGCCAGAAGUUGACAAAACAAGAAUGGGGCAUGCGCUGAAGCAAAGGAAAAGGUCCAGGCAGGAAGAGGAGGCAGGAAUGCCAACACGCCCACCACAUGUGGGAGCUCUCCAUGACACCCCCUUGUAUAUAAGUGGGGACCGCUAUUUUGCUGCCUUUGGUCUGGGAUAGCCUUCUGCACAAGGUCUGGCUUUCCUUAGACUGAGAAUUGAGUCUCCUCUCCAGUCCACCGAUCCCCAGGCUCAAGGACCCAGCCUUCCUGCUGCAGACCAGUUUUGGCCAGAGGACACUGUUUGCCAGGCAGCAGAGACUCUGACCCUGGACUAUGGAACAGAGGAAGGUGUGCAACUGGAAUGGGAACCUUGGGUUCUCAUCAACCUCAUUCUCCAAGCCAAGUUAAUGAACAUAUGCUGUUAAAAUAAAAACCUUUGAGGU